UACGUAGGGGGCUAGCGUUGUCCGGAAUCAUUGGGCGUAAAGAGCGUGUAGGCGGUCCGGUAAGUCCGCUGUGAAAGUCGGGGGCUCAACCCUCGAAUGCCGGUGGAUACUGUCGGGCUAGAGUGCGGAAGAGGCGAGUGGAAUUCCUGGUGUAGCGGUGAAAUGCGCAGAUAUCAGGAGGAACACCUAUUGCGAAUGCAGCUCGCUGGGACGUAACUGACGCUGAGACGCGAAAGCGUGGGGAGCAAACAGG
rnacentral:rRNA from 1 species